rnacentral:tRNA from 1 species
GGGAAUGUGGCUUAGUGGUAGAGUGCUUGCCUAGCAUGCAUGAAACCUGGGGUUCAAUUCCACAAUACCA